rnacentral:rRNA from 1 species
GAUGAACGCUGGCGGCGUGCCUAAUACAUGCAAGUCGAACGAAACUUCUUUAUCACCGAGUGCUUGCACUCACCGAUAAAGAGUUGAGUGGCGAACGGGUGAGUAACACGUGGGCAACCUGCCCAAAAGAGGGGGAUAACACUUGGAAACAGGUGCUAAUACCGCAUAACCAUAGUUACCGCAUGGUAACUAUGUAAAAGGUGGCUAUACUACCGCUUUUGGAUGGGCCCGCGGCGCAUUAGCUAGUUGGUAGGGUAAAGGCUUACCAAGGCAAUGAUGCGUAGCCGAAUUGAGAGGUUGAUCGGCCACAUUGGGACUGAGACACGGCCCAAACUCCUACGGGAGGCAGCAGUAGGGAAUCUUCCACAAUGGGCGAAAGCCUGAUGGAGCAACGCCGCGUGGGUGAAGAAGGUCUUCGGAUCGUAAAACCCUGUUGUUAGAGAAGAAGGUGCGUGAGAGUAACUGUUCACGUUUCGACGGUAUCUAACCAGAAAGCCACGGCUAACUACGUG